rnacentral:rRNA from 1 species
AUAACGGCGUCGAGCGGCGGACGGGUGAGUAAUGCCUAGGAAAUUGCCCUGAUGUGGGGGAUAACCAUUGGAAACGAUGGCUAAUACCGCAUGAUGCCUACGGGCCAAAGAGGGGGACCUUCGGGCCUCUCGCGUCAGGAUAUGCCUAGGUGGGAUUAGCUAGUUGGUGAGGUAAGGGCUCACCAAGGCGACGAUCCCUAGCUGGUCUGAGAGGAUGAUCAGCCACACUGGAACUGAGACACGGUCCAGACUCCUACGGGAGGCAGCAGUGGGGAAUAUUGCACAAUGGGCGCAAGCCUGAUGCAGCCAUGCCGCGUGUAUGAAGAAGGCCUUCGGGUUGUAAAGUACUUUCAGUCGUGAGGAAGGCGGCGUCGUUAAUAGCNGCNUUGUUUGACGUUAGCGACAGAAGAAGCACCGGCUAACUCCGUGCCAGCAGCCGCGGUAAUACGGAGGGUGCGAGCGUUAAUCGGAAUUACUGGGCGUAAAGCGCAUGCAGGUGGUUUGUUAAGUCANAUGUGAAAGCCCGGGGCUCAACCUCGGAAUAGCAUUUGAAACUGGCAGACUAGAGUACUGUAGAGGGGGGUAGAAUUUCANGUGUAGCGGUGAAAUGCGUAGAGAUCUGAA